UCCAUCUUCUUCUAAACUUUAUCAUAGGUUCCUCUUUUCCUGUCACAUAUCUCUGCAUGUUUUCUUCCUUAAGUUUGUUUUUAUUUUGUCGGUCUUGUGGCGUUGCGAGCGUUAGUUGCGGCGCUGCGAACGUUAGCUGCGGCGCUGCGCGCGUGCGUCGCGACGCUGAUACGGUCGUUCUUUCCAUGACUCUUCCCAUUCUCUCUCCGGCGUCAUGGCGUGCCGCGUGCAGACCUCGUUUCUAGUAUUGUAACUCCGCGACACGAUGCCGGUAUCCGAGCCGACUUACACGCGCAAUCACGUCUCUACUUUCUAAUCAACAUUUGUAUUCAGUAUUUAGUUAAUUAGGCAUUAAGUGUGUAUUAAAACGCCUCAUGGCAUAAAAUCAGAA